GACGAACGCUGGCGGCGUGCUUAACACAUGCAAGUCGAACGGCAGCAUGGAGAGCUUGCUCUCUGAUGGCGAGUGGCGAACGGGUGAGUAAUGCAUCGGAACGUACCGUGUAAUGGGGGAUAACGUAGCGAAAGUUACGCUAAUACCGCAUACGAGCUGAGGGUGAGAGCAGGGGAUCGCAAGACCUUGCGUUAUACGAGCGGCCGAUGUCAGAUUAGCUAGUUGGUGAGGUAAAGGCUCACCAAGGCGACGAUCUGUAGCGGGUCUGAGAGGAUGAUCCGCCACACUGGGACUGAGACACGGCCCAGACUCCUACGGGAGGCAGCAGUGGGGAAUUCUGGACAAUGGGGGCAACCCUGAUCCAGCCAUGCCGCGUGAGUGAAGAAGGCCUUCGGGUUGUAAAGCUCUUUCGGCCGGGAAGAAAUCGCACAGGCUAAUACUCUGUGUGGAUGACGGUACCGGCAUAAGAAGCACCGGCUAACUACGUGCCAGCAGCCGCCGUAA
rnacentral:rRNA from 1 species